rnacentral:rRNA from 1 species
AUUGAACGCUGGCGGCAGGCCUAACACAUGCAAGUCGAGCGGUAACGAUCCUAGCUUGCUAGGAGGCGACGAGCGGCGACGGGUGAGUAACGCGUGGGAAUCUACCUAGUAUGGGGGACAACUUGUGGAAACGCAAGCUAAUACCGCAUACGCCUACGGGGGAAAGACGGGGGCUCUUCGGACCUCUUGCUAUUAGAUGAGCCUGCGUAAGAUUAGCUAGUUGGUGGGGUAAUGGCCUACCAAGGCGACGAUCUUUAGCUGGUCUGAGAGGAUGAUCAGCCACACUGGAACUGAGACACGGUCCAGACUCCUACGGGAGGCAGCAGUGGGGAAUAUUGCACAAUGGGGGAAACCCUGAUGCAGCCAUGCCGCGUGUGUGAAGAAGGCCCUAGGGUUGUAAAGCACUUUCAGUAGGGAGGAAAGGUUAGUAGUUAAUACCUGCUAGCUGUGACGUUACCUACAGAAGAAGCACCGGCUAACUCCGUG